GUGCUCGGUUGCCAAUAAAUACUACUAGUACUCCUAUUUAUUAUUGCAUUGCCUUGCAUUAGUCUGGAGAGAGAUGACAAUGGAUCCUAUCUAGCUUUGCAACCAAGGAACGAACGAACUACAAAAAGGUGUAAGUAACAUAGAAAUGGAACACUCAUUUGAGCAAGAAAAGAACAGCAACUUAUGUGGAUAAAAGGUUGGCCUUGUGAAGGGUUGAAGAGCCUCAGUCUCGAACUUUGAGGGAGAGGGAUCAGGAUACCCGGGACAACCUUCCCUACAAGCUGCUACCAGAUGAUUGCUUGAGGAAAAGAAUGUGCUUCAAUAUCAGUUGGACUUUUAACUUUUGUCUAACUAGGAAUUGAGAGUACAAAUUGGUAAAAGAUAACCAUAAAGGAGAUGGAUAGCGACAGACGGGGGAAUCUGCGGUUGAAGCUCUCUUUUGCCACGAAUGAAAUGGUAUCCAAAGCCCCCUAAGAAUGACAGUCAAUGGUCCCACAAAGUGGUAUCCCACCAGAAUCUUCAGCACAAAAAUAAUCAUGCAGAGAUGUUUCAAUAUGAACAAUGUUGGAAUAACAAUUCUUUUCUUGCUUACCAAAAAAAAGACUUUGGGUUAGGAUAAAGAGAAGAGAAAGAAAUGAGUGAUAUAUUGAUAUAGUAUAUGAUGUAAUAAAAAAUACCGCAAAAAAUAUGAAAAAAAAAACAUGUGAAAUUGAGAUGUAAGAGAAAUUGAAAUGCAUGUGAACAUAUCAUUACUCUUUAAAUUUUGAUUGAAUUCAGUGAUCCAUAUUCAUUCUUUUAUGAAAUCACUUUGUUUUAGUAUAAAUUAACAACCGCCUGACCACCUCUCUAUCAUGUUCCCUACUUCCCUCUUUA